UGAAACUGGGUCCUCCCGGUGUUGCACAAUAGCGACGGGAGAGAAAAACACGGCGGCAGAGAAACCAACAUAGAGCCGCUGCUGUUUGUGUCUUCCUCUGAUUUCAGGUUGGUAACAUUACAGCCUGAGUAUGUGAAACCGAAAACAAAGCCGAUCACGCAGGGCAGGUAGAUGCAGGCGUGAGGAGAUGAGAGUUUAGCGGGUAACACAAAAGAAACAUAUAUAUAUAUAUAUAUGUAUUUGCGUCUGGAUGGUCGCCACUGGCAACUAGCAGAAAAACAGGUCGCAAAAUCAAAAAGAUGUAGAACUGAGAGCUCGUCCACUGCACGCCCACCUACACCUGCAACCAUGCACCGAUUGGACGACCCACCUGUCAACCGCGCUGUAUCCACGCUCCAGUGCUUUAUCUCUGUCUAUUUUACUCAUGAGGAGAGCAAAAUUUACAAAACUAGAGAUUCAAGUCUUUGCAACCAGCGGAGUCGCCCUCUGCAGGUGAUUCCAGACAAUACAGGCUUCAGGCACUUCCGCAAUUUGUGCAUUGGCGCGUCAUGCUAAAUAUUACUGCAUUGAAGCACCUUUCCUAUGCAUUUAGAGAUUCCGAACAGCUCUUAUCAUGGCUGCCAAUGAAAUACUUCUGGGUCGUUUCAAGAUUUAAGAAGCAUCCUACCGACCUACCUUACAUUUCAAGAUUUAAGAAAGCAGCCUACCAGCCUUUCAUAUAAUACAUGGUUGUCAUGUAUGAUGAGUCACAACGAGGAAGUGACGAUUAGCAUCCUGCCAUGGUCUCAUAAAAGCAAAGAAUCAAAGAAAGUGGAGAGUAGAGGGGCACUGUUUCAGAGAUAAGGGUCAAAGUAACAUUUGCAAAAAUGAGUAAGAGCUAACUUGUUAGACUUGAGGAGCAUUAACUACAAACUGAUGCUUCUGCGAUAGUAGCAUGUCAUGCAAUCCAAUAAAACUAAAAUGAAUAAAUA